rnacentral:tRNA from 1 species
UUGGUCUUGUAAACCAAAAAAGGAGAACAUGUGCCCUCCCUAAGACU